rnacentral:lncRNA from 1 species
GAGAAAGAAAAUAUUGUUAGUUUGGUAAUCUGAAGGGCAUCAUGGAAGAGAUGGCAUUUGAGUUAGGUCUUGGAAAUUGCUAGGAAUUGCUUGGUCUUGAUUUUUUAAAUUAUCUUAAAACAUGUACUACAAAUCCACUGCAUAAAAGAUUAAAAUUGUAAUGAAGAAAAAAAUGAUUUCACCUUUCCAAGGUGAAUAAAAUAUUAACACUGAUAAUAUUUUAGUGUGCUUUCUCAUUCAUCACUUGUGUAUUUUUUAUUAUUUUAUGUGGGACAAGGUGUUAAAUACAACUCUUCCUUUUUACAGGAUGAGGUUUUACAGGAUGCCAAGUGCCACUCUAAAGCAAGGAACUAAACCAUCUAUACAGAAAUUGCAUUUGGGGUGCUCUUUUGCCAGCAUUAUUCCACUUCAUCCUAAAAAAGAAAAGGACACAUCCUGGAUAUCCAUAAGCAGCAGCCAUGUUCCUUUGUUGGAGACACACAUUCUGAAUGUCUGGAGACCACUGCACUAGCAUAAUGUAAGCACUAAUCAACAUGGGCA